AAGUCGUAACAAGGUUUCCGUAGAUGAACCUGCGGAAGGAUCAUUAACACGUAUCCAACGUUAAACCCCCUGUGAACUUUUAUACUUGCUCUAUUAACUGACGGAAUUGCAAUCCCUGGUAAAUCAUUGUUGAACAGAUUUUGAUUCAGGGACCUCAGUUUGGCAGUUAGGAUUGAGCGAUCGUUGCAAGUGGCCUGGCUGGCAACAAAACGAACAACUGUUAACAAUGGAUAUCUUGGUUCUC
rnacentral:misc_RNA from 1 species